rnacentral:rRNA from 1 species
UGUUCGUGAAAUCUCACGGCUUAACUGUGAGCGUGCGGGCGAUACGGGCAGACUUGAGUACUGCAGGGGAGACUGGAAUUCCUGGUGUAGCGGUGGAAUGCGCAGAUAUCAGGAGGAACACCGGUGGCGAAGGCGGGUCUCUGGGCAGUAACUGACGCUGAGGAGCGAAAGCGUGGGGAGCGAACAGGAUUAGAUACCCUGGUAGUCCACGCCGUAAACGGUGGGUACUAGGUGUGGGUUUCCUUCCUUGGGAUCCGUGCCGUAGCUAACGCAUUAAGUACCCCGCCUGGGGAGUACGGCCGCAAGGCUAAAACUCAAAGAAAUUGACGGGGGCCCGCACAAGCGGCGGAGCAUGUGGAUUAAUUCGAUGCAACGCGAAGAACCUUACCUGGGUUUGACAUGCACAGGACGCCGGCAGAGAUGUCGGUUCCCUUGUGGCCUGUGUGCAGGUGGUGCAUGGCUGUCGUCAGCUCGUGUCGUGAGAUGUUGGGUUAAGUCCCGCAACGAGCGCAACCCUUGUCUCAUGUUGCCAGCGGGUAAUGCCGGGGACUCGUGAGAGACUGCCGGGGUCAACUCGGAGGAAGGUGGGGAUGACGUCAAGUCAUCAUGCCCCUUAUGUCCAGGGCUUCACACAUGCUACAAUGGCCGGUACAAAGGGCUG